rnacentral:rRNA from 1 species
AUUAAACGCUGGCGGCAUGCCUUACACAUGCAAGUCGAACGGCAGCACGGGGGCAACCCUGGUGGCGAGUGGCGGACGGGUGAGUAAUACAUCGGAACGUGCCCUGGAGUGGGGGAUAACGCAGCGAAAGCUACGCUAAUACCGCAUAUUCUGUGAGCAGGAAAGCAGGGGAUCGCAAGACCUUGCGCUUUGGGAGCGGCCGAUGUCGGAUUAGCUAGUUGGUGGGUAAAGGCCUACCAAGGCGACGAUCCGUAGCGGGUCUGAGAGGAUGAUCCGCCACACUGGGACUGAGACACGGCCCAGACUCCUACGGGAGGCAGCAGUGGGGAAUUUUGGACAAUGGGCGGAAGCCUGAUCCAGCCAUGCCGCGUGAGUGAAGAAGGCCU